CCUACGGGCGGCUGCAGUGGGGAAUAUUGGACAAUGGGUGAAAGCCUGAUCCAGCCAUGCCGCGUGUGUGAAGAAGGCCUUCGGGUUGUAAAGCACUUUCAGUGGGGAAGAAAGCCUUGGGGCUAAUACCCUCGAGGAAGGACAUCACCCACAGAAGAAGCACCGGCUAACUCCGUGCCAGCAGCCGCGGUAAUACGGAGGGUGCGAGCGUUAAUCGGAAUUACUGGGCGUAAAGCGCGCGUAGGCGGUCUGAUAAGCCGGUUGUGAAAGCCCCGGGCUCAACCUGGGAACGGCAUCCGGAACUGUCAGGCUAGAGUGCAGGAGAGGAAGGUAGAAUUCCCGGUGUAGCGGUGAAAUGCGUAGAGAUCGGGAGGAAUACCAGUGGCGAAGGCGGCCUUCUGGACUGACACUGACGCUGAGGUGCGAAAGCGUGGGUAGCAAACAGGAUUAGAUACCCCUGUAGUC
rnacentral:rRNA from 1 species